rnacentral:rRNA from 1 species
CAGCAGUAGCCGCGGGAAUACGGAGGGUGCGAGCGUUAAUCGGAAUUACUGGGCGUAAAGCGUACGCAGGCGGUUUGUUAAGUCAGAUGUGAAAUCCCCGAGCUUAACUUGGGAACUGCAUUUGAAACUGGCAAGCUAGAGUCUUGUAGAGGGGGGUAGAGUUCCAGGUGUAGCGGUGAAAUGCGUAGAGAUCUGGAGGAAUACCGGUGGCGAAGGCGGCCCCCUGGACAAAGACUGACGCUCAGGUGCGAAAGCGUGGGGAGCAAACAGGAUUAGAUACCCCUGUAGUCCCUGUCUCUUAUAC